rnacentral:rRNA from 1 species
AAUUUGAGAAGACCUGUCCUUAGUACGAGAGGACCGGGAUGGACGUACCUCUGGUGUACCAGUUGUUCUGCCAAGGGCAUGGCUGGGUAGCUAUGUACGGAAUGGAUAAGCGCUGAAAGCAUCUAAGCGCGAAGCCAACUUCAAGAUAAGAUUUCCCACCGCAAGGGUAAGACUCCAGAAAGACUAUCUGGUUGAUAGGUCGAAGGUGUAAGUGCAGCAAUGUAUUUAGCUUAUCGAUACUAAUAGGUCGAGGACUUGACCAAU